rnacentral:rRNA from 1 species
AUUGAACGCUGGCGGCAGGCCUAACACAUGCAAGUCGAGCGGAGCGGCGGACGGGUGAGUAAUGCCUAGGAAUCUGCCUGUUAGUGGGGGAUAACGUCCGGAAACGGGCGCUAAUACCGCUUACUCUCGGAUGAGCCUCGGUCGGAUUAGCUAGUUGGGGGGGUAAAGGCCUACCAAGGCGACGAUCCGUAACUGGUCUGAGAGGAUGAUCAGGCACACUGGAACUGAGACACGGCCCAGACGCCUACGGGAGGCAGCAGUGGGGAAUAUUGGACAAUGGGCGAAAGCCUGAUCCAGCCAUGCCGCGUGUGUGAAGAAGGUCUUCGGAUUGUAAAGCACUUUAAGUUGGGAGGCGGUACCAACAGAAUAAGCACCGGCUAACUUCGUGCCAGCAGCCGCGGUAAUAC